UACAGGGGGGGCAAGCGUUGUUCGGAAUUACUGGGCGUAAAGGGCUCGUAGGCGGCCAACUAAGUCCGACGUGAAAUCCCAAAGCUUAACUUUGGAACUGCGUCGGAUACUGGAUGGCUUGAAUUCGGGAGAGGGAUGCAGAAUUCCAGGUGUAGCGGUGAAAUGCGUAGAUAUCUGGAGGAAUACCGGUGGCGAAGGCAGCAUCCUGGACCGACAUUGACGCUGAGGAGCAAAAGCUAGGGGAGCAAACGGG
rnacentral:rRNA from 1 species